AGCAUAUCAAUAAGCGGAGGAAAAGAAACUAACAAGGAUUCCCCUAGUAACUGCGAGUGAAGCGGGAAAAGCUCAAAUUUAAAAUCUGGUGGUCUUUGGCCAUCCGAGUUGUAAUUUAGAGAAGCGUCUUCCGCGCUGGACCGUGCACAAGUCUCCUGGAAUGGAGCGUCAUAGAGGGUGAGAAUCCCGUCUUUGGCACGGACACACCAGGGCUUUUGUGAUGCGCUCUCGAAGAGUCGAGUUGUUUGGGAAUGCAGCUCAAAAUGGGUGGUGAACUCCAUCUAAAGCUAAAUAUUGGCGAGAGACCGAUAGCGAACAAGUACCGUGAGGGAAAGAUGAAAAGCACUUUGGAAAGAGAGUGAAACAGUACGUGAAAUUGUUGAAAGGGAAACGCUUGAAGUCAGUCGCGUCGAACGAGACUCAGCCUUGCCUUGGCUUGGUGUACUUCUCGGCCGACGGGUCAGCAUCAAUUUCACCCCUUGGAUAAUGGCGAGGGAAAUGUGACACCUUUACGGUGUGUUAUAGUCUCUCGUCGCAUGCAAGGGUCGGGAUUGAGGAACUCAGCACGCGCCUUUGGGCGUCGGGGUUUUGCCCACGAUACGUGCUUAGGAUGUUGGCGUAAUGGCUUUAAACGACCCGUCUUGAAACACGGACCAAGGAGUCUAACAUGCCCGCGAGUGUUCGGGUGGAAAACCCGUGCGCGCAAUGAAAGUGAAAGUUGGGACCUCCGUCGUGGAGGGCACCGACGCCCGGACCAGACCUUCUGUGACGGCUCUGCGGUAGAGCGUGUAUGUUAGGACCCGAAAGAUGGUGAACUAUGCCUGAAUAGGGUGAAGCCAGAGGAAACUCUGGUGGAGGCUCGUAGCGAUUCUGACGUGCAAAUCGAUCGUCAAAUUUGGGUAUAGGGGCGAAAGACUAAUCGAACCAUCUAGUAGCUGGUUCCUG
rnacentral:rRNA from 1 species